rnacentral:miRNA from 1 species
AAUAUUGGUUCCACUGUACUAAGCCUCUUGGAAUGCAGCAAUUAUCACCUCCCAAUAGGUGUUAAGUGCUGAAUUUCAAAGGGAUUAUCACUUUCCUCCUUU